GAUGAACGCUAGCGGCAGGCUUAACACAUGCAAGUCGAGGGGCAGCGCGGGAUAGCAAUAUCCUGGCGGCGACCGGCGGAAGGGUGCGUAACGCGUGAGCGACAUGCCCGUUGCCCGGGGACAACCGGUGGAAACGCCGACUAAUCCCCGAUGGGAUACGAUGCUUCAUGGCAUUGUAUUGAAAGUUACGGCGGCGACGGAUUGGCUCGCGUCCGAUUAGCUGGUUGGCGGGGUAACGGCCCUCCAAGGCUGCGAUCGGUAGGGGUUCUGAGAGGAAGGCCCCCCACAAUGGGACUGAGACACGGCCCAUACUCCUACGGGAGGCAGCAGUGAGGAAUAUUGGUCAAUGGGCGGAAGCCUGAACCAGCCAUGCCGCGUGCGGGAAGGAGGCCCUAUGGGCUGUGAACCGCUUUUGCCUGGGGGCAAUAAGGGCGUCGCGCACGUCCGAUGAGAGUACCAGGCGAAUAAGCAUCGGCUAACUCCGUG
rnacentral:rRNA from 1 species